CCUACGGGUGGCAGCAGUGGUGAAUAUUGGACAAUGGGGGGAACCCUGAUCCAGCCAUGCCGCGUGUGUGAAGAAGGCCCUCGGGUUGUAAAGCACUUUCAGUGAGGAAGAACGCCUGGUGGUUAAUACCCAUCAGGAAAGACAUCACUCACAGAAGAAGCACCGGCUAACUCCGUGCCAGCAGCCGCGGUAAUACGGAGGGUGCGAGCGUUAAUCGGAAUUACUGGGCGUAAAGCGCGCGUAGGUGGCUUGAUAAGCCGGUUGUGAAAGCCCCGGGCUCAACCUGGGAACGGCAUCCGGAACUGUCAAGCUAGAGUGCAGGAGAGGAAGGUAGAAUUCCCGGUGUAGCGGUGAAAUGCGUAGAGAUCGGGAGGAAUACCAGUGGCGAAGGCGGCCUUCUGGACUGACACUGACACUGAGGUGCGAAAGCGUGGGUAGCAAACAGGAUUAGAUACCCGAGUAGUC
rnacentral:rRNA from 1 species